CCUCUUCAGAUAGAUCAGUGAGUACAGUGCUAGAUCUAGUGGACGCUUCAGAUAGAUCAGUGAGUACAGUACAUUGCUAGAUCUAGUGGAUCACUGAUCUAUCUGAAGCGUCCACUCGAUCUAGCACUGUACUCACUGAUCUAUCUGAAGC
rnacentral:pre_miRNA from 1 species